GACGAACGCUGGCGGCGUGCCUAAUACAUGCCAGUAGAACGCUGAAGAGAGGAGCUUGCUCUUCUUGGAUGAGUUGCGAACGGGUGAGUAACGCGUAGGUAACCUGCCUUGUAGCGGGGGAUAACUAUUGGAAACGAUAGCUAAUACCGCAUAACAAUGGAUGACACAUGUCAUUUAUUUGAAAGGGGCAAUUGCUCCACUACAAGAUGGACCUGCGUUGUAUUAGCUAGUAGGUGAGGUAAUGGCUCACCUAGGCGACGAUACAUAGCCGACCUGAGAGGGUGAUCGGCCACACUGGGACUGGGACACGGCCCAGACUCCUACGGGAGGCAGCAGUAGGGAAUCUUCGGCAAUGGGGGCAACCCUGACCGAGCAACGCCGCGUGAGUGAAGAAGGUUUUCGGAUCGUAAAGCUCUGUUGUAAGUCAAGAACGGGUGUGAGAGUGGAAAGUUCACACUGUGACGGUAGCUUACCAGAAAGGGACGGCUAACUACGUG
rnacentral:rRNA from 1 species